AUGAACGCUGGCGGCGUGCUUAACACAUGCAAGUCGAACGAUUAAAGCUCACUUCGGUGAGUGUAUAGAGUGGCGAACGGGUGAGUAACACGUAGGAAACCUACCUUUUAGAUUGGGAUAACAGUUGGAAACGAUUGCUAAUACCAAAUGAUAUAUAGGAGGGGAACUUUCUAUAGUAAAAGGGUGCUUUAAAGCAUCGCUUUAAGAUGGGCCUGCGGUGUAUUAGCUAGUUGGUAGGGUAAUGGCCUACCAAGGCAACGAUGCAUAGCCG
rnacentral:rRNA from 1 species